rnacentral:rRNA from 1 species
AUUGAACGCUGGCGGCAGGCCUAACACAUGCAAGUCGAGCGGCAGCGGGAGGAAGCUUGCUUCCUCGCCGGCGAGCGGCGGACGGGUGAGUAAUGUCUGGGAAACUGCCCGAUGGAGGGGGAUAACUACUGGAAACGGUAGCUAAUACCGCAUAACGUCUACGGACCAAAGUGGGGGACCUUCGGGCCUCACACCAUCGGAUGUGCCCAGAUGGGAUUAGCUGGUAGGUGGGGUAAUGGCUCACCUAGGCGACGAUCCCUAGCUGGUCUGAGAGGAUGACCAGCCACACUGGAACUGAGACACGGUCCAGACUCCUACGGGAGGCAGCAGUGGGGAAUAUUGCACAAUGGGCGCAAGCCUGAUGCAGCCAUGCCGCGUGUGUGAAGAAGGCCUUCGGGUUGUAAAGCACUUUCAGCGAGGAGGAAGGCGUUGUAGUUAAUAGCUGCAACGAUUGACGUUACUCGCAGAAGAAGCACCGGCUAACUCCGUGCCAGCAGCCGCGGUAAUACGGAGGGUGCAAGCGUUAAUCCGAAUUACUGGGCGUAAAGCGCACGCAGGCGGUCUGUUAAGUCAGAUGUGAAAUCCCCGGGCUUAACCUGGGAACUGCAUUUGAAACUGGCAGGCUAGAGUCUCGUAGAGGGGGGUAGAAUUCCAGGUGUAGCGGUGAAAUGCGUAGAGAUCUGGAGGAAUACCGGUGGCGAAGGCGGCCCCCUGGAC